rnacentral:rRNA from 1 species
UACGUAGGGGGCAAGCGUUGUCCGGAAUCAUUGGGCGUAAAGCGCGUGUAGGCGGCUCGAUAAGUCCGCUCUGAAAGUCCAGGGCUCAACCCUGGGAUGCGGGUGGAUACUGUCGGGCUCGAGUCCGGAAGAGGCGAGUGGAAUUCCCGGUGUAGCGGUGAAAUGCGCAGAGUAUCGGGAGGAACACCAAUGGCGAAGGCAGCUCGCUGGGACGUGACUGACGCUGAGACGCGAAAGCGUGGGGAGCGAACAGG